AUUGAACGCUGGCGGCAGGCCUAACACAUGCAAGUCGAGCGGAUGAAGAGAGCUUGCUCUCUGAUUCAGCGGCGGACGGGUGAGUAAUGCCUAGGAAUCUGCCUGAUAGUGGGGGACAACGUUUCGAAAGGAACGCUAAUACCGCAUACGUCCUAUGGGAGAAGGUGGGGGAUCUUCGGACCUCACGCUCUCAGAUGAGCCUAGGUCGGAUUAGCUAGUUGGUGGGGUAAUGGCCCACCAAGGCGACGAUCCGUAACUGGUCUGAGGGGAUGAUCAGUCAAACUGGGACUGAGACACGGCCCAGACUCCUACGGGAGGCAGCAGUGGGGAAUAUUGGACAAUGGGGGGAACCCUGAUCCAGCCAUGCCGCGUGUGUGAAGAAGGCCUUAUGGUUGUAAAGCACUUUAAGCGAGGAGGAGGCUCUUUUGGUUAAUACCCAAGAUGAGUGGACGUUACUCGCAGAAUAAGCACCGGCUAACUUUGUGCCAGCAGCCGCCGUAACAC
rnacentral:rRNA from 1 species